rnacentral:lncRNA from 1 species
AGGUCUUCCCCUUCCCCCAAAAUCGCUCCUUUAGUUACCAUUCUGCCUUGCUCUGGCGGCCUGCUCUGCUUUAGCCUUUUGCUGCUGGCCUCUGUUUAGUGAUUUGCUGAGUUCUUUUGGGUUCCUUUUGGUUUCUGUUUCCUAGUCCUGGGAUUUUUACGAGAAUGAGUUUUCCGUUUGGUGGUGGAAAGCAAAAGAGUUCGGUGUCUCUAUUUUAUGUUUUUAUGUAAAAUUUUUGGUCUUCUUUAUCGCAGAUUAUGCUUGUGUGAUGCGUAUUGGCUUGUUGAUUUCCUCUUCUGCCUUUGUUAUCUGUGUUCUGGGUUCUGUUUGAUGUGUUGGGUUUGUUUCUGUGAUCCCUUCAUGCUAAUGAUCUCUCUCUCUCUCUCUCUCUCUCUUUCUCUCUCAGUAUUUUAGUAUGUCGCUUUCUGUUUUAACUUUUACAAGUAAUCUGUUUUCUUUCCCCCCAUCUUAAUCUACUUUUUGUUGGGAUUUGAAUGUUGUUUGGUUGGAAUCUUUUAGCUUGACAAAAGUUUGUGCUCCUUUUGCAGUAUAUGCACAUUUAUGUGGUUUUCUCUUUAUCUGAACAUUAGAGCCAACAAUUUUGCUGGUGGAGUGCUGGAUUUUGCAUUUAGGGCUUGGGAUUUUUGAUGACUCUCUCAAUUGGUCAUACUGGAUUACAAUUUUUGGAUUUUGAUUGCAGUAUUUGAAAUCAUAGGGCAUGUACCGGCGAGCCAUUUUGUUAUCAAUGGCCAAGGCCAUUCCCCUUUCUUUGAACAAACAAACCCCUGAAUUCUAAAUAGGACGGAGGUAUAUGAGCAUGGUGGUUUGGUGGCAAAGACUAGAUGUAAUUUUUCUUUUUCUAGAAUUUUGUCUAUAUGUUUUUGGAUUUUCUGUAAGAAAAAUUUUGCUUGUCUUGAAAUAUGGUUAGGGCCCUAACAUUUCUGUCGUUUGGAAUGGUGAAGCCUAGAAAGGACAUAAAUCAACUUCUUCACUGACCAUUCUAAUUUGCAUUUGCAUGCUUUAUCUGCUACUUUCAAUGACCAAGGUGUUAUGCAUUUGUUGACGGGAUAUUCCUGGAAAUGAGUUAGUGAACGUGGCUAUGAUGGCAAACUCAAUGUUUUUUGGAUUCUCAUGACUUUGUCACAAGAAAGAGCUUCAAAUUUUCAUAAAUUUAGAAUACAUAGAGAGGAGAGAAUUGGAAAACUGGUAGGCUUUCUUGUGCUUGCAAGCAAGUCGCAAAGUGGAUUUGUGAAGUGAUCUACCAUCAAUUUAAGAGGCAUUUAUAUUUAAUCUGACCUACCAUCAAUUUAAGAGGCAUUUAUAUUUAAUCUGGGAGACCAAUCUGCUGCACAGGGCAGUAUGGAUCUAUCUAAACUGUGUAUAGCUCCAUAUUGUGGAACAGUUGUUGCUGUUAAUGGAGAUACAUGAAGUGAUAAAUCAUAUGAAAAAUAUUAUAGGGGAGCAAUCUGGUGCUGGUAUGAGACUUUCUUCUUUCAUUACAUUAUAUGCAUACUUGUCACUUUGCUGGUAUAGCUUGGUGUUCUGCUCAAGGGUACAGAGCGAAGACUAAAUUCAAUGUGUCUUGCCUAUUUGCAGGAGAUUAAAUGAAAGGAAUCAUAAAACUUCUGACAACUGGUGCAAAGAAAAAGUGAGGCUUGUUGAAAGAAAAACAUAUUGAUGUUCCUGCAUUUGUUAAAAUGUGAGCAUAUGAGCCAUUAGAUUUGGGAUGGAGCUGUUCUGGUUGUACCUGCAUAAUUGUUCAAGCGUCUUGAUUCUGAACAUAAAUGUUAAGACAACAAAGUUUUACUCUUUUCUUUUUAUUGAUUGUGAAGAUUCAGAGGCUCAUCUGAAAACCAUUGAGUAGCAGUGAUAUGUUCGAUCCCUCUAAAAAUCAAGAGUCCUUUUAAUAUCAACAAGACAAGCAUCAUGCUUACACAAACUACAUGCCCCGUAGUUCAUCAUGGAUUAUGAAGACUUGCUUCUUUCUUGAUACCAUAUGGUUUCUCUCUCUCUUUGAUGCUGCAUGGUUCUGUGGUGGAGGAUUUGGGAUCAUGGUGAUGAACAGGACAUUGUAUACACAUGCCUCUUAGAUUAAACAUAUGAGAAUUGCAUGUAAACCCCAAGCAAUAGAUUCGAUUUAGCUGUGGUUUAGUAGAAAGAAAAAAGAUUUUGCACAGUGUUUACAGGACCUCUUGGGUGGGCAAUGGGAAGUGUCAUAGUUAAUGUGACCUGCAAACACUACAGUAAUUUAGGGAUUUUCUUGGUAUAGCUUUCCUAAGAAUCUUGUUACAUGUCCUAGGAGAAUCUAGAAAAGAGCAGAGUGCUAGAAGUAGGCUAUGGAACGUGUUUGAACGCUCCAAGGAGAUAUUUGAGUGGUUAUAUGGAGUACACUAUGAGUGAAAUUACACUUUGGUGUAGUUAUCCUGGGAUCCUUUGAUCAAGUUUAUUGUAUCAUGUCACAUGAGAAUUUGGAGAAGAGUGGAGUGUUAUAAAGGGGCAUAGAGAAGGUUCUAGAGUGCUGCUGAGUUUGUUAGGCACAGACAACUUAUUGGGUCAUUAGAAUAAAAAAUUCUUGCAGUUCUUGUAAACUUGUAGAGGGAAGG